AAAUUUCCGGCGUCAUGUUCAAAAAAAUGAAUCUAACCUCGCGGCACGUUGACUCGCGAUGAGCAAAAGCAGGAGGGAUAUUUUGCUGACGACGUCGUCUGCCAGUCAUAAUUAAUCCUCUUUCAUGAAAAAUCUCUGGCAAAGAUUCAGGGGGAAGAAAAGAAAUUCAUAAGUGACUGACAACGGCUUCUAGAUGGCAUUUGUUUCUAAGAGCUCUAUUAUCAAACGAGGAACUAAAACAAACGAAACGUCAUCCUAAAUUAGAAAAGAGCCGAUUGAGAUUUCGUUUCAUAAAAAGUAAGUAUCCCAAUAUGAUCACAAAAAAAUGGGCACCUAAUCGACUUCAGAUCCGAAAAAAGCCAAUAGAUAACUCGAACUCUAUUUGAGUAUAAGCGGUAAAGAGCCCGGUU
rnacentral:misc_RNA from 1 species